UGGAGAUAAUACUAAAAUAAGACCCAUUCCUGCUUUCAAAGAACUUACACACCUGGGUAGUUUGGAUGGAAGGACACGAUAAGAGAAGAAUUUAGACUUUUGCUGAAAGUGAGAAGAAGCCAACAAUCACCAACCAGCUGUCUGAAUCUUUUCCAUCAUCUUCUCUAGAGCUACAGCCUUGUUGAGCAUGUGGUUUGAUUUGCAAGCUCAAUAACCUGACCAAGGGCUCAUCCCCACCCACCCACAGCUGAAUAAACUGUCAAAUUUGACACCAGAAGAAUAAGCUCUGUUUGCCCAAAUGAAAAUUUUGUUUAUCAACAGUGGAGAACACUUUGAUGGAGUUUGAAAGCUCAUCUGACAUUUACAACAUGCUACUAAGAACCAUUUAGGUCUGCUGCCCUGUUCCAUUUCAGACAGAGGAGAGGUGAGGCAAUGAAAGACUCUCAAGAGAUUUUCUUCCUUGCUGGCUUUGAUGAAAUAAGCUGGUAUAUGGAAAGUCCCAGGUGAAAGGAAUUGAGGGUGACCUUGCCAACAAGGAACUGAGUCCUAGAAACCGCCGUGUGAACUUGGAAACAGAUCCUACCCCAAGGUGCUUCACGUAAGAUCCCAGCCCUGACUGACAAGCUGGUGGCAGCUUUGUGAAAGACAUGGAAGCCACAGGCCUGGAAAAACCAAACCAAGAUUCCUGACCCAUAGAAAUUUUGCAGGGUAAGGUGGCAGUAUCCGUGCCUGCUGUGUCCAUGGCUAGAGCAACAGAGAAUAGCCUGGAAGUUAGCCCUGAUCAGUCACCCAGGCUGAGAGGCAUAGAGCUGGGCAAGCUGAGAGGCAUAGAGCUGGGCACUGGGGCAGCCUGGCCCGAGAAGAUGUCCAAAUCUGUGGUGACAUGGAAGUAUGCAUGCAGGCCUUGGAUAACCUGAGGAGAAAAGGGCCCUGGCUGAACUCACCUCAUACAAUCCGUUCUCUUGA